UCAUACCUGAAAGCUUCCUUUAAUUGUGUCUCUUUUUCUAUUUAAAAGGUGAUAAUGUGAUUAUUUCAGGAGACUUUGAAUCCACAUUUCUUCACUUACUAUGGUUCACCUCACCUUUGAGUUGGAGAUUCAAUCACAAGGUUUUAAACUUGGAAUACCUCUGGAGUAGAGAUUAAUUCCUGAAUGGCAUUUCACCAUCAUUUAUUGUGGUAAAAUGUCAUGAAUUGUCCUUCAGUGUACAAGUUCUCUGAGCAAUUACCUUCAUGUGCUUUUCCACUGAAGAAGCCAGAGAAGAAAAGGAGCUCAAAGGUCACUCUUGUGCCUGGAAAACCUUCUGCUACCCAGCCUGCCUCAUGAGAUUGUCCUCCUGGGGUAUAGUCCUUUUGACUACAUGAAGGAGUGUACUUGGGGGCCUGAGGGAAGGCCUGGGAAAAAGGUGAACCCUUUUUUUUUUAGGAGAGAGAUGCCUGUGGGGCAGGCUUGGCCAUCUGUUCCUGAGAAAGAACCACCACUGUAAAGACAGGAGGGGUGUCACUGGAUCAGUGCCACAGAGUCAUACAGAUGGAUACAUUUGCAUGAAAAUAAUUCAUGAUGAUUUCAUAUUAUUUUUUUUCCUUUUAAGUUUCUUCUGGAUGAUUUCCUCAGAACUCUGCAUCACUUUGAAAAUAUAUACAUGAUAAAGUGCUUUAAAUUCCCUACAUAGAAGAUAUCUUCAAAAGUUUUAUUAAUUGCUAAGCUAAUAUUGAAGUUUAAUAUAUUUUGCUAGCAUUUCUUAAAAAUGUUUUCCUUUGACAUUUCAUAUUUUUCUUAACAAUAAAAUUUUCCUGAAUCAACA
rnacentral:lncRNA from 1 species